rnacentral:rRNA from 1 species
CCUACGGUAGGCAGCAGUGAGGAAUAUUGGUCAAUGGGCGGAAGCCUGAACCAGCCAAGUAGCGUGCGGGAUGAAGGCCCUACGGGUCGUAAACCGCUUUUGCACGGGGAUAACACCCUCCACUUGUGGAGGUCUGCAGGUACCGUGCGAAUAAGGGCCGGCUAAUUCCGUGCCAGCAGCCGCGGUAAUACGGAAGGCCCGAGCGUUAUCCGGAUUCAUUGGGCUUAAAGGGAGCGUAGGCGGGCGUUCAAGGCAGCUGUAAAAUCGCGCGGCUCAACCGCGCCCCGCAGUUGAAACUGGACGCCUUGAGUUCACAACAGGCAGGCGGAAUUCGUGGUGUAGCGGUGAAAUGCAUAGAUAUCACGAGGAACCCCGAUUGCGAAGGCAGCCUGCCGGGGUGCGACUGACGCUGAGGCUCGAAGGUGCGGGUAUCAAACAGGAUUAGAUACCCUAGUAGUC